AUGAACGCUAGCGGGAGGCUUAACACAUGCAAGUCGAAGGGCAGCAUUAUCGCUUGCGAUAGAUGGCGACUGGCGAACGGGUGCGUAACGCGUAUGCAACCUACCCUCAACUGGAGAAUAGCCCAGAGAAAUUUGGAUUAAUACUCCAUAGUAUUACAGAUUCGCAUGUUUCUGUAAUUAAAGUUUUAAUGGUUGAGGAUGGGCAUGCGUGACAUUAGUUUGUUGGUGAGGUAAUGGCUCACCAAGACUACGAUGUCUAGGGGUUCUGAGAGGAUGAUCCCCCACACUGGUACUGAGACACGGACCAGACUCCUACGGGAGGCAGCAGUGAGGAAUAUUGGACAAUGGAGGCAACUCUGAUCCAGCCAUCCCGCGUGCAGGAAGACGGCCCUAUGGGUUGUAAACUGCUUUUAUACAGGAAUAAACCCCUCUACGUGUAGAGGGCUGAAGGUACUGUAAGAAUAAGCACCGGCUAACUCCGUG
rnacentral:rRNA from 1 species